rnacentral:misc_RNA from 1 species
CAAGUUCUUGCACAUCACCUUUAGCAGAAGCUGGAGUGAGUUCUUGGACAUCACCUUUAGCGGAAUCUGCAGCUUGUUGUUGCACACUACCUUUUGUUGAAGUUGCAGUAUUUUCUUGUGCAUGACCUUUAGUAAAAGUUCUUCUUUCUUCUUCAGCCAGUUUUUCCUUUGUCUUCUGUCCCACUUCCCCGGCAGCCUUAGUGACUCGACUUAAUGCACCUGCAGCCCAAGUUACACCGGUCAAAGCAUAUCUGUUCUUCAUGAUGGCAG